CAGAUUCUGCAGUCCUGAGUCAUGGUCAUGAGGAGAAGAGCUGUAACACGGUGAUACAGAAUUUCCAAUCUCUAACCUGAGCAGACUGGCCUGCUCAUCAGCGUGUUCACAGAGCAGCUCAGAUCCCAGCUUGGAUGCUUCAGGGUCACAGCCUUCAUCAGCUCCACCAGCAGAACCCUUGUCAGCUCCUGAGCCAACAUCCAAAUGCUUUCCUAACGCUUGGCUACCUUAGAGAACAGCAAUGCUGAACCCUGAGAAGCAA